AUAAGCGGAGGAAAAGAAACCAACAGGGAUUGCCUUAGUAACGGCGAGUGAAGCGGCAACAGCUCAAAUUUGAAAUCUGGCCCUCGGGUCCGAAUUGUAAUUUGUAGAGGAUGAUUUUGGUGCGGUAUCUUCCGAGUUCCUUGGAACAGGACGCCUUAGAGGGUGAGAGCCCCGUACGGUUGAAUGCCUAGCCUCUGUAAAUCUCCUUCGACGAGUCGAGUAGUUUGGGAAUGCUGCUCUAAAUGGGAGGUAAAUUUCUUCUAAAGCUAAAUAUUGGCCAGAGACCGAUAGCGCACAAGUAGAGUGAUCGAAAGAUGAAAAGCACUUUGAAAAGAGGGUUAAAUAGCACGUGAAAUUGUUGAAAGGGAAGGAUUUGUGACCAGACUUUUUCUGGGCGGAUCAUCCGGGGUUCUCUCCGGUGCACUUUGCCCAGUAAAGGCCAGCAUCGAUUUUCGGCGGCGGAUAAAAGCAGUGGGAAUGUGGCUCCCUACGGGGAGUGUUAUAGCCCAUUGUAUAAUACGCUGCUGGGGAUCGAGGUACGCGCUUCUGCAAGGAUGCUGGCGUAAUGGUUAUCAAUCACCCGUCUUGAAACACGGACCAAGGAGUCGAACAUUUAUGCGAGUGUUUGGGUGUUAAACCCUCACGCGUAAUGAAAGUGAACGGAGGUGAGAGCCCGUACGGGUGCAUCAUCGACCGAUCCUGAAGUUUUCGGAUGGAUUUGAGUAAGAGCAUAACUGUUCGGACCCGAAAGAUGGUGAACUAUGCGUGGAUAGGGUGAAGCCAGAGGAAACUCUGGUGGAGGCUCGCAGCGGUUCUGACGUGCAAAUCGAUCGUCAAAUCUGCGCAUGGGGGCGAAAGACUAAUCGAACCAUCUAGUAGCUGGUUACCGCCGAAG
rnacentral:rRNA from 1 species